rnacentral:rRNA from 1 species
UACGUAGGGGGCAAGCGUUGUCCGGAUUUAUUUGGGCGUAAAGAGCGUGUAGGCGGCCAAGUAAGUCUGCUGUGAAAACUCGAGGCUUAACCUCGAGCUGUCGGCGGAAACUAUUUGGCUAGAGUCCGGAAGAGGAGAAUGGAAUUCCCGGUGUAGCGGUGAAAUGCGCAGAUAUCGGGAAGAACACCCGUGGCGAAGGCGGUUCUCUGGGACGGUACUGACGCUGAGACGCGAAAAGCGUGGGGAGCGAACAGG